rnacentral:rRNA from 1 species
UGCCAGUGAUAAACUGGAGGAAGGUGGGGAUGACGUCAAGUCAUCAUGGCCCUUACGACCAGGGCUACACACGUGCUACAAUGGCAUAUACAAAGAGAAGCGACCUCGCGAGAGCAAGCGGACCUCAUAAAGUAUGUCGUAGUCCGGAUUGGAGUCUGCAACUCGACUCCAUGAAGUCGGAAUCGCUAGUAAUCGUAGAUCAGAAUGCUACGGUGAAUACGUUCCCGGGCCUUGUACACACCGCCCGUCACACCAUGGG